rnacentral:lncRNA from 1 species
UUCAAAAUAGUAUAAUUAUUAUCAUACCAAGCAAAGAAGGAAAAGAGAAAAAAAUCUCUUAUCCAUAAAAUAGCUGGGGAGAAUAAGCUUAGUGCAGCUGGUGAUAAAUGGUGGAAUGAGAUUGUAACUUUUGAAAAAUAUCCAAAUAGUAUUAUUAAUUGUAGCCAAACUGCCUGGACAGAGAUGAUGUAAUUGUCUCUCAAAGAGAUGAUAGAAUGGAACAAAAAAAAAUUCAAGAAAAGGCAGAGGAGCUGCAUUAACAGAAAGUAAUAACUAACAAGGAAAUUUGGGUCAACCAUAUACAAUAUAGGAAUUUGGAUAUGUGAGGCAGAAUAAUGGAGAUUGAAUGAAAGAGGGAAAAGAUGGGCCUAAAAACUGCUUGAGAUGACACUUAUCAUACCAAAAUAUUAAAAAUCUCAUGGAAAUGUGACAAAAGAGGCAUAGACAGGGUUUUAGGAACGAUGACACAAAUAACUCAAACCAGUUUCAGACUAAUGCUCAGUGGAGUAAUAUGACCAUACGAGAGAGUAAUUUCACCACCCACAUAAUUUACUAAGCUUCAUCAAACUUCACAAAACAGAAAUCAAAAAUAAAAAGUCCAACUCUAUAUUUGCAAUAAUGCCAAUUCACCCCCUGAACCCAUUUUGGCAGUGUGCACUUACUGCUAAAGUUGCAUUUCCUUCAUGUCAUGCAAUUGGCUUCAAUAGACUGAAUAACAAACCAAUGCCUUUCCUACCUCAACUAGGAAAACAGAUUUCAAUUAGAAUAACUUUAACUAGAUUAACAAAACUCUUCUCUUGCUCUACAAGUGGUGUUCUUUCGGCCAAACAAAUAAAACCAAGGUAAACCUGCAAGCAUUUUCUCAGGCUUCCCAAGUUCGUAAUUGUUCAUAAGUACAUUAAUUCC